UGAGUAAUACAUCGGAACGUGUCUUCUAGUGGGGGAUAACUGCCCGAAAGGGCAGCUAAUACCGCAUGAGACCUGAGGGUGAAAGCGGGGGAUCGCAAGACCUCGCGCUGGAAGAGCGGCCGAUGUCCGAUUAGCUAGUUGGUGAGGUAAAGGCUCACCAAGGCGACGAUCAGUAGCCGACCUGAGAGGGUGACCGGCCACAUUGGGACUGAGACACGGCCCAG
rnacentral:rRNA from 1 species